GGGCGAGGGCGCAUGCGCGGGGGGGGGGGGAACCCACACGUGCACCGAGCGGCCCCGGCCUCAGCCAGGGCUCAGUUUAUCGGUGCCACACGUGCACUGAGCGGCUCCGUCCUCAGCCAGGGCUCAAUUUCUCCUGUCCACACACGCGCUGAGCUUCUCUGCCCUCAGCUGCAGCUGGGUUUAUUGGUGUCACACGUGCACCGAGCUGCUCCGUCCUCAGCCGGAGCUGAGCUUAUUGGCGUCACACGUGCAGCGAGCAGCCCCGUCCUCAGCCGCGUGUUAGUUUAUUGGUGCCACUCGUGUCCCGAGCAGCCCCGGCCUCAGCGGGCGGCCAUUUUGUGCCCCCCCCCCCAACACCCACUCGUGCACCAAGCGGCCCUGUCCUCAGCCAGAGCCCAGUUUAUUGCUGCCACACGUGCACUGAGCUGCCCCGUCCUCAGCUGCAGCCUGGUUUAUCAGUGUCACUCAUGUCCCGAGUGGCUCCAUCCUCAGCCACAGCCCGGUUUAUUGGUGUCACUCAUGCACCGAGCUGCCCCGUGCUCAGCCAUGGCUCAGUUUAUCGGUGCCACACGUGCACCGAGCUGCUCCAUCCUCAGCCACAGCCCGGUUUAACAAUGUCACUCGCGCGCCGAGCGGCCCCGUCCUCAGCCAGAGGCCAGUUUAUCGGUGUCACACGUGCACCGAGCGGCUCCGUCCUCAGCCAGAGCCCAGUUUAUCGGUGUCACACGUGCACCGAGCGGCUCCGUGCUCAGCCGCAGCCCGGCUUAUGGGUGUCACACGUGCACCGAGCAGCUCCAUCCUCAGCCAGAGCCCAGUUUAUCGGUGUCACACGUGCA
rnacentral:lncRNA from 1 species